rnacentral:rRNA from 1 species
GACGAACGCUGGCGGCGUGCUUAACACAUGCAAGUCGAACGGAAAGGCCCUGCGUUUGUGGGGUGCUCGAGGGGCGAACGGGUGAGUAACACGUGAGUAACCUGCCCUUGACUUUGGGAUAACUUCAGGAAACUGGGGCUAAUACCGGAUAGGAGCUCCUGCUGCAUGGUGGGGGUUGGAAAGUUUCGGCGGUUGGGGAUGGACUCGCGGCUUAUCAGCUUGUUGGUGGGGUAGUGGCUUACCAAGGCUUUGACGGGUAGCCGGCCUGAGAGGGUGACCGGCCACAUUGGGACUGCGAUACGGCCCAGACUCCUACGGGAGGCAGCAGUGGGGAAUAUUGCACAAUGGGCGGAAGCCUGAUGCAGCAACGCCGCGUGCGGGAUGACGGCCUUCGGGUUGUAAACCGCUUUCGCCUGUGACGAAGCGUGAGUGACGGUAAUGGGUAAAGAAGCACCGGCUAACUACGUG